CGAGGGGAGUGAAAAAGAACCUGAAACCGUGUACGUACAAGCAGUGGGAGCACCCUUUGGGUGUGACUGCGUACCUUUUGUAUAAUGGGUCAGCGACUUAUAUUCUGUAGCAAGGUUAACCGAAUAGGGGAGCCGGAGGGAAACCGAGUCUUAACCGGGCGUUAAGUUGCAGGGUAUAGACCCGAAACCCGGUGAUCUAGCCAUGGGCAGGUUGAAGGUUGGGUAACACUAACUGGAGGACCGAACCGACUAAUGUUGAAAAAUUAGCGGAUGACCUGUGGCUGGGGGUGAAAGGCCAAUCAAACCGGGAGAUAGCUGGUUCUCCCCGAAAGCUAUUUAGGUAGCGCCUCGUGAAUUCAUCUCCGGGGGUAGAGCACUGUUUCGGCUAGGGGGCCAUCCCGGCUUACCAACCCGAUGCAAACUGCGAAUACCGGAGAAUGUUAUCACGGGAGACACACGGCGGGUGCUAACGUCCGUCGUGAAGAGGGAAACAACCCAGACCGCCAGCUAAGGUCCCAAAGUCAUGGUUAAGUGGGAAACGAUGUGGGAAGGCCCAGACAGCCAGGAUGUUGGCUUAGAAGCAGCCAUCAUUUAAAGAAAGCGUAAUAGCUCACUGGUCGAGUCGGCCUGCGCGGAAGAUGUAACGGGGCUAAACCAUGCACCGAAGCUGCGGCAGCGACACUGUGUGUUGUUGGGUAGGGGAGCGUUCUGUAAGCCUGCGAAGGUGGCCUGUGAGGGUUGCUGGAGGUAUCAGAAGUGCGAAUGCUGACAUAAGUAACGAUAAAGCGGGUGAAAAGCCCGCUCGCCGGAAGACCAAGGGUUCCUGUCCAACGUUAAUCGGGGCAGGGUGAGUCGACCCCUAAGGCGAGGCCGAAAGGCGUAGUCGAUGGGAAACGGGUUAAUAUUCCCGUACUUGGUGUUACUGCGAAGGGGGGACGGAGAAGGCUAUGUUGGCCGGGCGACGGUUGUCCCGGUUUAAGCGUGUAGGUGUGUGUUCCAGGUAAAUCCGGUUCACUUUAACACUGAGGCGUGACGACGAGGCACUACGGUGCUGAAGCAACAAAUGCCCUGCUUCCAGGAAAAGCCUCUAAGCAUCAGGUAACAUCAAAUCGUACCCCAAACCGACACAGGUGGUCAGGUAGAGAAUACCAAGGCGCUUGAGAGAACUCGGGUGAAGGAACUAGGCAAAAUGGUGCCGUAACUUCGGGAGAAGGCACGCUGACACGUAGGUGAAGUGAUUUACUCAUGGAGCUGAAGUCAGUCGAAGAUACCAGCUGGCUGCAACUGUUUAUUAAAAACACAGCACUGUGCAAACACGAAAGUGGACGUAUACGGUGUGACGCCUGCCCGGUGCCGGAAGGUUAAUUGAUGGGGUCAGCGCAAGCGAAGCUCCUGAUCGAAGCCCCGGUAAACGGCGGCCGUAACUAUAACGGUCCUAAGGUAGCGAAAUUCCUUGUCGGGUAAGUUCCGACCUGCACGAAUGGCGUAAUGAUGGCCAGGCUGUCUCCACCCGAGACUCAGUGAAAUUGAACUCGCUGUGAAGAUGCAGUGUACCCGCGGCAAGACGGAAAGACCCCGUGAACCUUUACUAUAGCUUGACACUGAACAUUGAGCCUUGAUGUGUAGGAUAGGUGGGAGGCUUUGAAGUGUGGACGCCAGUCUGCAUGGAGCCGACCUUGAAAUACCACCCUUUAAUGUUUGAUGUUCUAACGUGGACCCGUUACCCGGGUUGCGGACAGUGUCUGGUGGGUAGUUUGACUGGGGCGGUCUCCUCCUAAAGAGUAACGGAGGAGCACGAAGGUUGGCUAAUCCUGGUCGGACAUCAGGAGGUUAGUGCAAUGGCAUAAGCCAGCUUGACUGCGAGCGUGACGGCGCGAGCAGGUGCGAAAGCAGGUCAUAGUGAUCCGGUGGUUCUGAAUGGAAGGGCCAUCGCUCAACGGAUAAAAGGUACUCCGGGGAUAACAGGCUGAUACCGCCCAAGAGUUCAUAUCGACGGCGGUGUUUGGCACCUCGAUGUCGGCUCAUCACAUCCUGGGGCUGAAGUAGGUCCCAAGGGUAUGGCUGUUCGCCAUUUAAAGUGGUACGCGAGCUGGGUUUAGAACGUCGUGAGACAGUUCGGUCCCUAUCUGCCGUGGGCGCUGGAGAACUGAGGGGGGCUGCUCCUAGUACGAGAGGACCGGAGUGGACGCAUCACUGGUGUUCGGGUUGUCAUGCCAAUGGCACUGCCCGGUAGCUAAAUGCGGAAGAGAUAAGUGCUGAAAGCAUCUAAGCACGAAACUUGCCCCGAG
rnacentral:rRNA from 1 species